rnacentral:misc_RNA from 1 species
UGCACGAUUAUUGUCUUUCCUUGUACGUUUAAUUGAUGCUAUGAGGAGGAAUACAAAUCCUACGUUGAAGAAGAUUUUGUGGUUGGUGGAUAUUGUUCAAUGGGCAUUCCCAAAGUUGUAUCAAAAGUAAAACAGAAUCUUCAGUUUAUUCUAUUCUUAUUUUUUAAAUAACUGUUGUACUUUCGGAAUUGUAGAAUUCAUGACUGAUAGGGAAUAUGUUGAUUGUUAGACAUUCUAUGCAAUUUCAAUAAAACUGCCAUUUUUUUUU